rnacentral:rRNA from 1 species
AGAGCGAACGCUGGCGGCAGGCCUAACACAUGCAAGUCGAGCGCCCGUAGCAAUACGGGAGCGGCAGACGGGAUAGUAACACGUGGGAACGCGCCCUUCGGUUCGGAAUAACUCAGGGAAACUUGAGCUAAUACCGGAUACGCCCUUACGGGGAAAGAUUUAUUGCCGAAGGAACGGCCCGCGUCCGAUUAGCUAGUUGGUGAGGUAAUGGCUCACCAAGGCGACGAUCGGUAGCUGGUCUGAGAGGAUGACCAGCAUCACUGGGACUGAGACACGGCCCAGACUCCUACGGGAGGCAGCAGUGGGGAAUAUUGGACAGUGGGCGCAAGCCUGAUCCAGCCAUGCCGCGUGGAUGAUGAAGGCCUUAGGGUUGUAAAGUCCUUUUAACGGGGAAGAUAAUGACGGUACCGUAGAAUAAGCCCGGCUAACUUCGCGCCAGCAGCCGC